rnacentral:rRNA from 1 species
UUAAGCGACUAAGCGUACACGGUGGAUGCCCUGGCAGUCAGAGGCGAUGAAGGGCGUGCUAAUCUGCGAUAAGCGCCGGUAAGGUGAUAUGAACCGUUAUAACCGGCGAUACCCGAAUGGGGAAACCCAGUGUGACUCGUCACACUAUCAUUAACUGAAUCCAUAGGUUAAUGAGGCGAACCGGGGGAACUGAAACAUCUAAGUACCCCGAGGAAAAGAAAUCAACCGAGAUUCCCCCAGUAGCGGCGAGCGAACGGGGAGGAGCCCAGAGCCUGAAUCAGCAUGUGUGUUAGUGGAAGCGUCUGGAAAGGCGCGCGAUACAGGGUGACAGCCCCGUACACAAAAGCGCAUGUGCUGUGAGCUCGAUGAGUAGGGCGGGACACGUGGUAUCCUGUCUGAAUAUGGGGGGACCAUCCUCCAAGGCUAAAUACUCCUGACUGACCGAUAGUGAACCAGUACCGUGAGGGAAAGGCGAAAAGAACCCCGGCGAGGGGAGUGAAAAAGAACCUGAAACCGUGUACGUACAAGCAGUGGGAGCACCCUUUGGGUGUGACUGCGUACCUUUUGUAUAAUGGGUCAGCGACUUAUAUUCUGUAGCAAGGUUAACCGAAUAGGGGAGCCGGAGGGAAACCGAGUCUUAAUUGGGCGUUAAGUUGCAGGGUAUAGACCCGAAACCCGGUGAUCUAGCCAUGGGCAGGUUGAAGGUUGGGUAACACUAACUGGAGGACCGAACCGACUAAUGUUGAAAAAUUAGCGGAUGACCUGUGGCUGGGGGUGAAAGGCCAAUCAAACCGGGAGAUAGCUGGUUCUCCCCGAAAGCUAUUUAGGUAGCGCCUCGUGAAUUCAUCUCCGGGGGUAGAGCACUGUUUCGGCUAGGGGGCCAUCCCGGCUUACCAACCCGAUGCAAACUGCGAAUACCGGAGAAUGUUAUCACGGGAGACACACGGCGGGUGCUAACGUCCGUCGUGAAGAGGGAAACAACCCAGACCGCCAGCUAAGGUCCCAAAGUCAUGGUUAAGUGGGAAACGAUGUGGGAAGGCCCAGACAGCCAGGAUGUUGGCUUAGAAGCAGCCAUCAUUUAAAGAAAGCGUAAUAGCUCACUGGUCGAGUCGGCCUGCGCGGAAGAUGUAACGGGGCUAAACCAUGCACCGAAGCUGCGGCAGCGACACUGUGUGUUGUUGGGUAGGGGAGCGUUCUGUAAGCCUGUGAAGGUGUGUCGUGAGGCAUGCUGGAGGUAUCAGAAGUGCGAAUGCUGACAUAAGUAACGAUAAAGCGGGUGAAAAGCCCGCUCGCCGGAAGACCAAGGGUUCCUGUCCAACGUUAAUCGGGGCAGGGUGAGUCGACCCCUAAGGCGAGGCCGAAAGGCGUAGUCGAUGGGAAACGGGUUAAUAUUCCCGUACUUGGUGUUACUGCGAAGGGGGGACGGAGAAGGCUAUGUUGGCCGGGCGACGGUUGUCCCGGUUUAAGCGUGUAGGCUGGUUUUCCAGGCAAAUCCGGAAAAUCAAGGCUGAGGCGUGACGACGAGGCACUACGGUGCUGAAGCAACAAAUGCCCUGCUUCCAGGAAAAGCCUCUAAGCAUCAGGUAACAUCAAAUCGUACCCCAAACCGACACAGGUGGUCAGGUAGAGAAUACCAAGGCGCUUGAGAGAACUCGGGUGAAGGAACUAGGCAAAAUGGUGCCGUAACUUCGGGAGAAGGCACGCUGACACGUAGGUGAAGUGAUUUACUCAUGGAGCUGAAGUCAGUCGAAGAUACCAGCUGGCUGCAACUGUUUAUUAAAAACACAGCACUGUGCAAACACGAAAGUGGACGUAUACGGUGUGACGCCUGCCCGGUGCCGGAAGGUUAAUUGAUGGGGUCAGCGCAAGCGAAGCUCCUGAUCGAAGCCCCGGUAAACGGCGGCCGUAACUAUAACGGUCCUAAGGUAGCGAAAUUCCUUGUCGGGUAAGUUCCGACCUGCACGAAUGGCGUAAUGAUGGCCAGGCUGUCUCCACCCGAGACUCAGUGAAAUUGAACUCGCUGUGAAGAUGCAGUGUACCCGCGGCAAGACGGAAAGACCCCGUGAACCUUUACUAUAGCUUGACACUGAACAUUGAGCCUUGAUGUGUAGGAUAGGUGGGAGGCUUUGAAGUGUGGACGCCAGUCUGCAUGGAGCCGACCUUGAAAUACCACCCUUUAAUGUUUGAUGUUCUAACGUGGACCCGUUACCCGGGUUGCGGACAGUGUCUGGUGGGUAGUUUGACUGGGGCGGUCUCCUCCUAAAGAGUAACGGAGGAGCACGAAGGUUGGCUAAUCCUGGUCGGACAUCAGGAGGUUAGUGCAAUGGCAUAAGCCAGCUUGACUGCGAGCGUGACGGCGCGAGCAGGUGCGAAAGCAGGUCAUAGUGAUCCGGUGGUUCUGAAUGGAAGGGCCAUCGCUCAACGGAUAAAAGGUACUCCGGGGAUAACAGGCUGAUACCGCCCAAGAGUUCAUAUCGACGGCGGUGUUUGGCACCUCGAUGUCGGCUCAUCACAUCCUGGGGCUGAAGUAGGUCCCAAGGGUAUGGCUGUUCGCCAUUUAAAGUGGUACGCGAGCUGGGUUUAGAACGUCGUGAGACAGUUCGGUCCCUAUCUGCCGUGGGCGCUGGAGAACUGAGGGGGGCUGCUCCUAGUACGAGAGGACCGGAGUGGACGCAUCACUGGUGUUCGGGUUGUCAUGCCAAUGGCACUGCCCGGUAGCUAAAUGCGGAAGAGAUAAGUGCUGAAAGCAUCUAAGCACGAAACUUGCCCCGAGAUGAGUUCUCCCUGAGACUUAAAGUCUCCUGAAGGAACGUUGAAGACGACGACGUUGAUAGGCCGGGUGUGUAAGCGCAGCGAUGCGUUGAGCUAACCGGUACUAAUGAACCGUGAGGCUUAACCUU